rnacentral:lncRNA from 1 species
AACCAAUUUAACUUCUCUGAACCUUCCAAAAGGUAAUUUUUCCUGUCCCCAUUUCUUCCCAGGUCUCUCUCCUUGACUCAUCUCUGUUCCUUUGCUUACCGGCUAAAGAAUCUGUGGGGUCCACAGCUCCUUGAGCAGAUUUCUCGGGGACUGAAUCUAUUUACAGACUGAAAUUCGAUAGACUCACCCCAAUCCAAGUCAUGCUUGCAGACACCAACCUAAGUCAUGCUCGCAGAUGCCACGUGGCUGAUCCCUGGUGGGAUAUCAGGAAUCUGACAUGGAGAUAGGGCAGGGGGUCAGAAGAAAACAGAGACAUCUACCUGGCACCCGAUGGGGACAGGGCUGGCCCCCUGACCUUUCUCUCUGUCCUUUGUCCCUAC